rnacentral:tRNA from 1 species
GGAAUUGUGGCUCAGAGGUAGAGCGCUCGCCUAGCUUGCGUGAGGCAUGGGUUCGAUCCUCAGCACCA